AAUCGAAGAUCCCGGCUUCUUCAUAAGCUCCCACACGAAUUGCUUGAUUCACUGGUUAGACGAUUGGGUCUGUAGCUCAGUUGGUUAGAGCGCACCCCUGAUAAGGGUGAGGUCGGCAGUUCGAAUCUGCCCAGACCCACCAAUUGUUGGUGUGCUGCGUGAUCCGAUACGGGGCCAUAGCUCAGCUGGGAGAGCGCCUGCUUUGCACGCAGGAGGUCAGGAGUUCGAUCCUCCUUGGCUCCACCAUCUAAAACAAUCGUCGAAAGCUCAGAAAUGAAUGUUCGUGAAUGAACAUUGAUUUCUGGUCUUUGCACCAGAACUGUUCUUUAAAAAUUCGGGUAUGUGAUAGAAGUAAGACUGAAUGAUCUCUUUCACUGGUGAUCAUUCAAGUCAAGGUAAAAUUUGCGAGUUCAAGCGCGAAUUUUCGGCGAAUGUCUUCUUCACAGUAUAACCAGAUUGCUUCGGGUUGUAUGGUC
rnacentral:tRNA from 1 species